rnacentral:misc_RNA from 1 species
AACGCACGAGACCUGCGGACCUGCGGAGGGAUCAUUAUAGAGUUUUCUAAACUCCCAACCCAUGUGAACUUACCUUUUGUUGCCUCGGCAGAAGUUAUAGGUCUUCUUAUAGCUGCUGCCGGUGGACCAUUAAACUCUUGUUAUUUUAUGUAAUCUGAGCGUCUUAUUUUAAUAAGUCAAAACUUUCAACAACGGAUCUCU